AGGCUGGGCCCAUUGUUACAGGAUAGCUGUGAAGUGCUAUCCUGUCCUUUCCCCCUGCCCAGAGCAAGUGUUUCCAACAAUCUCUGUCCAGCUCAACUCUAUAGCCAGACAGGGACGCUUGGCCUCAAGCAU
ensembl:snoRNA SNORA63 Small nucleolar RNA SNORA63